CCAUGCAAUUCAUUUUCCAAUCUUCAAAUGUGUUUCCCUGUGUUUGCAAGUACGUUGUACUUAUUGUUAAUUCUUCUUUGAUGCUUUGUGAUAAACUAGCAAAUUGAGAUUUGAGAUUAUCCGCAAGAUCGUUUAUCUUUUGGUUGUUAGUUAUUUGUGAUUAUUGCAGCUUUGCUAAAUAUUCGGAUAACAUUGCUAAUUUCAAACUUUCUUGUCUUUGUUCGAACC
rnacentral:lncRNA from 1 species